CUUCAGAGGAGGUUCUUCUGAGGCUGCUGCCAGUGGUCAAAGCCUCCAGCAAAGCUCUACUGAGCAGCUGUUCCCUCUCAGAUGAAGGAUGUUCAGCUCUGUCCUCAGCUCUCAGCUCUCCGUCCUCCAGACUGAAGGACCUGGACCUGAGAAUCCAGGACUCAGGACUGAAGGAGCUGUGUGAUGGACUGGAAAACUGGAAACUGGAAACUCUCAGGCUGAGUGUGUGUGGUUUCCUGCAGGACUCAGGACUGAAGAAGCUGUGUGAUGGACUGAAG